UCUACUAACUUAAAAAGCAAGGUGCAACUUCACUGUUCAUAGUGCACCAUUUUUUUUUGGUUCCAGUUGUUAGAUAGUUGGGCCUAUUUCUUAUUUGGGCUUCUUUGGUUGAAUGAUAGGUUUCUUCUUCCAUAGAGUUAGCAGAACUCAAUCUCUCCCUUUCUCCCGUGUACGUUCCGCGAUUUCCGGCUGCCACCGCCGUCGAAUCUGCAAAUUCGUCCAUUCAUAUCUCUUGGCACUGGAUUUCCGCAUAAAGUUGCAUGCUAUAACCCUCGAAAUUUCAUCUACCACUCGUCCUUUCCUUUGCAUUCCAGGAUAAAGCCAUAAAGGUGCACCUACAACUACAAGCUUCAACAUAGCCAUCAAUCUGGUUUUUGUGCUCUAGGAUCUGUACUCUAAAUCUAUAAGCCAACUAUUAAUUUUGCUUUCCAGUCUGUUUGAGCUACUUCCUAUCUCAGAAAUCCAGCUACUCAAGGUGCUUUCCAGGUUGUUUAAUUUGAUAGCUUCAAAAUCUUGCUGGAUUCCACCUUAGUUGAAGGUAGAUGCUUAUAUAUAUACCUUUGUUGGUCACGAAACGAAAGAGUAAUGCGUUGUUAAAUACUCAUGAGACACGAUGGGUUCUGCUCCGUCAUGGCCUGGGGCGUUUCAGCGGUGCAAACAAGGCGGAGCAAACGGCGGCCAUCGCGAUUUAAGAGAGCGGCGCAACAGGACUGGUGCUGCUGACUUCGGGGAAACGACGGCGGCGGCACCAAAGCCAGCGGGAGCAGCGUUCGACUUCGACACUCUUCCUCCUCAACUAUUCCGGUGACAUCCCCCUCCUCAGCCAUUGAGCAAUCGGCGAGAGUCAACCUCUCUUGUCUUCUCCAGCCCUCGGAGGAAGAGAUUCAGACAAAAUGGGCAACAUAGUAAAUCUAGACUAUAGUGUUUUCGAUGUGGAUGGAUGAUAACACAUCUAUUGAUCAGCUCUCUAGAUAUUUGAAUCUCAAGGUUGAUGUAGGGAGUAGGGACCAAGUUUUCCCCUCAAGUUUAUUGAAAGUCUGUCCCGAUGUGUGUGGAUUCAAAUAGACAGAGCAUAGAGAUGUAGUCAUGCAUAUGUAGUUUGCAAUUCAAGGUUAUGGAGAAGGGCCUUAUUUUCAUUUAAGGUUUUGAACCAACAUUGGACACAAAGUUGUUGUGUUGUAAUACCUCAUAGACCUGUCUCAGUCCACAGUGUAUGCUGCUAUGGAGCAGUUUGUUUAGGGGUUAUCACUACCGAUUGGUUCUCUCUCUCCAUGUUGGCUCAUGAGAGAAGUCUCGAAAGGUAGAAGCAAUCUCAAAGACAACUUUGUUUUCUUGGUCUUUUCUCUCCAAAAUUAUUUGAGUUUAUCUUCUUCAAUUGUCCUUCGCUUGCUGAAAAUUGAAAAUAAUCUUUUGGGGAAAAUCAUGGCUUCCAUCUACAAGAGUUCAUCUAAGUUUAAGCAUAUUUUUUGUUACCGAUUUUAUCAUAUUACUUUCUCCUCUGGUGAGAUUGGCACUGAUGAGUAAAACUUAUCAUAGCUUUCUCAGGUGGGUAUCAUGUCAUGUGUUUUGUAUCUCAAGGUGUUCAUCAUGAACCCAUCACGAGAAUGAUUUUAUGAAGUUAUACAACAAGUUAGAUUCAUCAUUGACUAUACAACCCAAAGUUUUCAGGAUAUUUAGUUGCAUGAGAAAUUUUAGAAACUAUACAAGUUUGAAUAAGCUGCACUUAUAGUAUAUAAACUGAAGACCCUGUUGUGCAUGCUUGAGAUUAAGUGGUCAGCAAUUCAGCUGGAAGAAUGGCGGAUAAAUGAAGCAGUUUUGGUUUAUUGGAGGGACCAAUGCCCAUUUAGCUAUUGUGCCCCAAGUCCUGCUGAAAGUCAUAGCAGGCAUUAAGAUCUCCUUGCCGAUGAUGUAAAGUUGUUAAUUCAGUAUCCUAUAAUGCUUCAGACACCUAAUUUAUUUAUCUCCAACAUUUUCACGAGAAAACCUUUUCUUAUGUAAUUUAGUUUAACUUCUGAAGUAGUAAGCUUAUUUUUCUCACU